rnacentral:rRNA from 2 species
AGACCCGAAACCCGGUGAUCUAGCCAUGGGCAGGUUGAAGGUUGGGUAACACUAACUGGAGGACCGAACCGACUAAUGUUGAAAAAUUAGCGGAUGACCUGUGGCUGGGGGUGAAAGGCCAAUCAAACCGGGAGAUAGCUGGUUCUCCCCGAAAGCUAUUUAGGUAGCGCCUCGUGAAUUCAUCUCCGGGGGUAGAGCACUGUUUCGGCUAGGGGGCCAUCCCGGCUUACCAACCCGAUGCAAACUGCGAAUACCGGAGAAUGUUAUCACGGGAGACACACGGCGGGUGCUAACGUCCGUCGUGAAGAGGGAAACAACCCAGACCGCCAGCUAAGGUCCCAAAGUCAUGGUUAAGUGGGAAACGAUGUGGGAAGGCCCAGACAGCCAGGAUGUUGGCUUAGAAGCAGCCAUCAUUUAAAGAAAGCGUAAUAGCUCACUGGUCGAGUCGGCCUGCGCGGAAGAUGUAACGGGGCUAAACCAUGCACCGAAGCUGCGGCAGCGACACUGUGUGUUGUUGGGUAGGGG